rnacentral:rRNA from 1 species
UACGGAGGGGGCUAGCGUUGUUCGGAAUUACUGGGCGUAAAGCGCACGUAGGCGGCUUUGUAAGUUAGAGGUGAAAGCCCAGGGCUCAACCCUGGAAUUGCCUUUAAGACUGCAUCGCUUGAACAUCGGAGAGGUAAGUGGAAUUCCGAGUGUAGAGGUGAAAUUCGUAGAUAUUCGGAAGAACACCAGUGGCGAAGGCGGCCAACUGGUCCGGUACUGACGCUGAGGUGCGAAAGCGUGGGGAGCAAACAGG